ACACGGGGCUAAGCUGGACACCGAAGCGGCGGGAUUUUGAUUUUCAGAAUCGGUAGGGGAGCUUCCCAUGGGCGGAGAAGCCGGAGGGCGACCGACGGUGGAGCGCAUGGGAGUGAGAAUGCUGGCAUGAGUAGCGAGAGACGAGAGAGUAACUCGUCCGCCGUGAACCCGAGGUUUCCUGGGCAAGGCUAAUCCUCCCAGGGUCAGUCGGGGGCUAAGGCGAGGCCGGUAGGCGUAGCCGACGCGCAGCAGGCAGACAUUCCUGCACCGCGCACGCGGCGCUACGACCGACGGGGCGACGGAUGGGGGUGGCUCGGCGGGGUUCUGGACGUCCCCGUGAUGGAGCGCGGCCCGCGGACCAGGGAAAUCCGGUCCGCAGAAGGGCGAGGCUCCGGACGAAGCGACUGAGCGAAGCGAGUGAGCCCGAGGUCCCUAGAAAAACCCCUAGGCAGGCGCGUGCGCGCCCGUACCGCAAACCGACACAGGUGGGUGGGUAGAACAUACCGAGGCGAUCGGGUCAACCAUGGUCAAGGAACUCGGCACAAUGGCCCCGUAACUUCGGGAGAAGGGGUGCCCGCGCGUACGUGAACCGGCUCGCCCGGGGAGCGGAGGCGGGCCGCAGUGGAGAGGCCCAAGCGACUGUUUACCAAAAACACAGGACUCUGCAGAAGCCGCAAGGCGACGUAUAGGGUCUGACGCCUGCCCGGUGCCGGAAGGUCACGCGGAGGAGUUAGCCGUUUCGGCGAAGCCCCGAAGCCAAGCCCCGGUAAACGGCGGCCGUAACUAUAACGGUCCUAAGGUAGCGAAAUUCCUUGUCGGGUAAGUUCCGACCUGCACGAAAGGCGCAACGACUUGGGCGCUGUCUCGACCAUGGACCCGGUGAAAUUGCACUGGUCGUGAAGAUGCGACUUACCCGCGGAAGGACGGAAAGACCCCGUGAACCUUCACUGCAGCUUGGCAUUGGCCGCUGGUCCCGCGUGUAGAGGAUAGGCAGGAGGCAUCGAUCCGGAGGCGCCAGCCCCCGGGGAGCCGCCCUUGGAAUACUGCCCUCGCGCGACCGGCGUCCUAACCCGAGGCCGUCAACCGGCUCGGGGACCGUGCCAGGCGGGCAGUUUGACUGGGGCGGUCGCCUCCUAAAGGGUAACGGAGGCGCGCGAAGGUCCGCUCGGGACGGUCGGCAACCGUCCUUUUGAAUGCAAGAGUACAAGCGGGCUUGACUGCGAGGCCCACAAGCCGAGCAGGUGCGAAAGCAGGCUCUAGUGAUCCGGCGGCCCCGAGUGGGUGGGCCGUCGCUCAACGGAUAAAAGGUACUCCGGGGAUAACA
rnacentral:rRNA from 1 species